UUUGACGGCAUGAUGAACAAGGGACUUGUCGUGGUAUUCUCACGGGGGGCUUGCGAGUCGACAGAUGCCACAAUGGCUUAGUGUGAGGGUAAGACUGCUGCUGAUAGGACCGGGAGCGGGUAUGCGAGUAGCACGCGGUAGUUUACCCAGGUUCGGGGCUCUCCGGAGAGAUAAUACCCCUACUCCUGCAUGUCUGAGUAUAUCUGGUAUAUCUAUCUGGUACAGAGUUGCUCCUGGAGCUGUAUCUGAGCUCAGUGCCAUAGGCAUCUGGCUUUGCAUAUGUCGUAUAUGGGUGUAUGAGCUAGCUAGCAAGUGGGCAUGAGAGUGCUCCACCGUGAGUGGCAUGUAUGCAUGCGUGAGGGAAUUCGUCCUCCCUGGAUGGAUGGAUGUGAGCCCAUAUAUAUAGUGUGGAGCUAGCUUGAUAUGUAAGCUAUGUGGGUAGCUUAGGAAGUAAGCUAGGUAGUGGCAUGGGAACAAGGGGGCAUGAUGGGGUGUCAUGCUUGUCCCCUGGGUCACUUCAUAAAUAGUGCCAGGGGACAAGUGAUACUAUACAUGAUGACAUGAGGUACAGCCGUCUCGUCCGCGGUAUGGCCGCCACGUCGGGGUCUUGUUGGUGUCGGGUCGUGCUGCAGUCGGCAGCCGGCUGGUUGAUGCAGUCGGCAGCCGGCAGUCGGUCGGGCAGAGCAGUCGGACGGGAAGCCGGCAGGAGCGGCCGGACGGUCGGACUGAGGGGCUUUGCUAGCCCCGAUGUCUUGAAAUAUCGUCUUGCCGUCCUCGGGGUACCCGUGGUCGAUUACUCCGACAGUAGCCCCCAAGCCUCCGGGCAACUUGGCAAAGUUGGGCGGAGGUUUUUUGGCGAGUGUUCAUGGAAAUGAUCAUGAAAAAAGACAAAGUUAGUCCAUGCGGAUAUAUCAAAUGUUUGCUUUUAGCAUUGCAAGUUUUAUGCGGAGGGUGCCGACUCGGUUUCGUCCGAGCCCCCUUAAUCUUUUUCGUGUUCCCUCCGCUUUUUGGCUUGUGCUCUUGCUUGCCGGACAGCCGCUCUGCGGUCUGUGGCUAAGAGUGGGCCGCGAAGUGGAGUGUACAGUACUCAGAGUCUAGGAGCAGAUUCAAUCGAGUAGAUACUUGUAAAGGAAAAUGGCCGAGUCACCCGUACCGUUUUUCUUCCCGGACGUUUUUUGCGUGGUGGCCUCCAGCAUUCACCCUUGCUAGCCGGACAGCCGCUCUGCGGUCUGUGACUAAGAGUGAGCUUUUGGUAUUGUGCAUGCUACUAAGCCGUCUGCGGGAACUAACGUCUCAGGCCAAGCGGCCAGCCCCCGGGCCAACUCUGGCUGGUGCCGGGGCGAACAGUGAUGCAACUGUAAUAAAAAAUGCGGAGACAGCACCCGAGCAUCGCUCGGGAUUAUCCGUGCUUGCGUGAUGCAAAAAUAUGCGGGCGAGGAGCUCACAUUGAUAUUUGUGUAGUCGCGGUCGUCGAAAACAGCCGGCGCGACUCGGUGCUCGCGGAGCGCGUCGGCGCACCCGCUGGGUGUAGCCUCCGAGCCCCCGGGUGCUUGAAGGGGGGUUCCGGCCGGUCAGGCUCGACCGGCCAGGCGGCGAGGCGUCUUGCAACGUCUUUUUUCUUCUUUUCUGCUGGCUACUGGGAGCUGGACAAAACUCUUCUCUUGUUUGCAAUCCUCCGUGGGGGCGCGCCAGUGCACCCACUGGGUGUAGCCCCCGAGAUUCCGGCCGACUGCUGAGCAGUCAGGCCGGAUCUUCCGGCAACUACUUUGUCUUCUUCCUCGUGGGGGCACGUCAGCGCACCCGCUGGGUGUAGCCCCCGAGAUUCGGGCCGACCGCUGAGCAGUCGGGCCGGAUCUCCCGGCGACUACUUUGUCUUCUUCCUCGCGGGGGCGCGUCAGCGCAUCCGCUGGGUAUAGCGCGCUCCGCUAGUGCAGUUGGUAGCCGACCAGGCAUGUAUGUAUGCAGUGCACCCCUUUCUCUUCUUUUUCUUUUUGUUUUUCAGCCGGCCCUUGACUUUCCUCUACCAACCGGCAGCAAUUUUGCCCCGCGGGCAACCGGCCAAUUUCUUUCUUUUUCAGUUCUCUAGCCAGCCACCACCUCUCUCUACUCCUUUCGCGUGGGGAGGCGGCAGCGUCUGGCCGGCGUGGGGAAACCGGCCAACGCGGGGCGGCGACCCGACGGGCGCGCGAGGGCCGACAAGGGCUGGAGCAGAGUGGUCGGACCAAGGGCGGAGGCGCCGGCGACCCGGCGGCCGGGUGCUGCAGGAGGCGGAGGCCGAGUCGCGGGGAAGCCAGACCGGGGCGCGGCAGAAGCCAGCUUGCCGGGUUGCGGCAGAAGGCGGAGGCCGGGUCGCGUCGGCAACCCGGCGGCCGAGUUGCGGGGAAGCCGGCCGCGGGCCAAGCCGGCGAGCGCAGCAGGCCACAACCAGCAGGCGGCGCUGGAGGAGCCGGACCAGCGUGGGGCAGGCGGCACGGGACCGGAGCUGGCGGAGGCCAGCAUCGGGCGACUCGGCCGCGGCGGCAUGCAGGGCCCGCGCGCGAGGGCGUAGUCAUCGUCGUCACUGGUUGGCCGCGGGAGCCGGCAACCGGGUACCGCGGAGGAGGCGGAGAGGCUCGAAGUCGGCCGGGCGGGGGCGCAGCCGGCUGGGCUAGGCGGUCGCGGGAGCCGGAUGGCCGGAGGCGGCAGGCGGCGGCCCGGCCGGGUCGUAGGCGGAGCCGGCAGUCCGGGUAGCCGGGGUUGGAGCCGGCCCAGGGUGCGCGGGGCCGAGGCCAAAGCCGGCGAAGCGAGCGGGGCAGCAGGAGGCCCCGGGCGACACGGGUGGCCCGUCAGGCAGGGAGCUGCGGAGGAGAAGGCGACCCGGACGCCGGGAGCGUAGUCGGCGCGAGGGGCCGAGGCCGGCCUGCGGGAGGCGGCCCGGGGAAGCCUGGAGGGGGAGGUCGGCUGGGCUGGGCGGCGGCCGGCGACGCGAGGCCGGAGCGGCCGGCUGGCGACGAGCCAGCCGCAGGGCGAGCAGGGCCGGAUGGCUGUGCACACGUGCGCGGAGCAGAGGCGGGUUGGCCGCGGGCGUUGACCGCUACGUACUGGCGGGCAGGCGGCCAGGCCACGAGCGGAGCUACACGUGGGAGAAGAUGGCGACCGCAGGGGCCCGGCGCAGCUGCUGCGCGCGGCAGAGGAGCGGAGCGAGGCGCUGGAGUCUCAAGGGAGGGCUCGUGCUCGAGCAGCACGGCGGCUUGGCCAGCCGCACGGCAGCAGCCGCGGCCGGUGGUGGUGAUGCGCACAUGAGGAAGCAGCAGCGUGGAGCGAAGCAGCACGGACGGGGAAGCCAGUGUGUGUGUGUCAUGUACGAGCGCGUACGAGGAAUAUCUGAGGCGGUCUGGCCAUUGUCUGACUAGUAUCCGGUCAUUGCACGGGAAGUGUCUGACUGGGAUGUGCAAGUGUAUUGUAUGGGCUAGUGCAUGGCUAUGGUAUGACCAUACUUUGACUUGCAUCUAGCUAGCUUGCAAAGAUGGCAUGUGGAGGAACAAACGAGUGUUUUUGCCGGAGCAAGGCGCAACACGGAGUGAAGCAGACGCGAGCAGCGCGUGGACGGUCAUGGCCGACCGAAACAAGGCCUCGCGUGCGGCGCGCGUGCGGACGGACGGCCGGCGUCGCAACGGUGGUGGUGACGAAGGCGGCGAGGCCGACGACGAGGACGCGCCGUCCCGCGCGGCCGCUCCGGGGGCGGGUCGAAGUCGAGCCCCCGAGCGCUACCGGAGAGACGGCGCGACGCCGCGGCGGGGAAGACGAAGAUGGUCCCGCCCGGACAGCGAAACCAGCAGCAGCGUGGUAGCAUAGUAGUAGUACCGCCCCACGGUGGGCGCCAACUGUCGUGGUAUUCUCACGGGGGGCUUGCGAGUCAACAGAUGCCACAAGGGCUUAGUGUAAGGGUAAGAUGCUGCUGAUAGGACCGGGAGCGGGUAUGCGAGUAGCAUGCGGUAGUUUACCCAGGUUCGGGGCUCUCCCGAGAGAUAAUACCCCUACUCCUGCAUGUCUGAGUAUAUCGGGUAUAUCUAUCUGGUACAGAGUUGCUCCUGGAGCUGUAUCUGAACUUAGUGCCAUAGGCAUCUGGCUUUGCAUAUGUCUUAUAUGGGUGUAUGAGCUAGCUAGCAAGUGGGCAUGAGAGUGCUCCACCGUGAGUGGCAUGUAUGCAUGCGUGAGGGAAUUCGUCCUCCCUGGAUGGAUGGAUGUGAGCCCAUAUAUAGUGUGGAGCUAGCUUGAUAUGUAAGCUAUGUGGGUAGCUUAGGAAGUAAGCUAGGUAGUGGCAUGGGAACAAGGGGGCAUGAUGGGGUGUCAUGCUUGUCCCCUGGGUCACUUCAUAAAUAGUGCCAGGGGACAAGUGAUACUAUACAUGAUGACAUGAGGUACAGCCGUCUCGUCCG
rnacentral:lncRNA from 1 species